rnacentral:rRNA from 1 species
AUUGAACGCUGGCGGCAUGCCUUACACAUGCAAGUCGAACGGCAGCACGGGAGCAAUCCUGGUGGCGAGUGGCGAACGGGUGAGUAAAGUAUCGGAACGUGCCCAGUCGUGGGGGAUAACGUAGCGAAAGUUACGCUAAUACCGCAUACGAUCUAUGGAUGAAAGCGGGGGAUCGCAAGACCUCGCGCGAUUGGAGCGGCCGAUAUCAGAUUAGGUAGUUGGUGGGGUAAAGGCUCACCAAGCCGACGAUCUGUAGCUGGUCUGAGAGGACGACCAGCCAGACUGGGACUGGGACACGGCCCAGACUCCUACGGGAGGCAGCAGUGGGGAAUUUUGGACAAUGGGCGAAAGCCUGAUCCAGCCAUGCCGCGUGCAGGAUGAAGGCCUUCGGGUUGUAAACUGCUUUUGUACGGAACGAAAAGGUUUGGGCUAAUAAGCUGAGCUCAUGACGGUACCGUAAGAAUAAGCACCGGCUAACUACGUGCCAGCAGCCGCCGCCG